UAAGGUUUACAUCUUUUUCUUUAUACGUGCUGCCCAAAGUGGUCAUACCAAUUUACUUUUUCACCAGUAGUGUACAGGAGUUCACAUCGUUCCAUAUCCUUUCAAUACCGCUUGUUGUCGUCAGGCUUUUAGUUUUUUUUUCCCCCAAAUGAUGGAUAUGAGAUGCACUCUUAGAGUAUUUUAAAUCAUUUUCCUGAUUAUGAGUGAGGUUGAGUGCUUUAAAAAUAUUUCAUAGCUAUUCAUGUUUCUCCUGUGAGUCUUCCAUUUAUACCUUUAAUCCAUUUUCUACUUAAAAUCAGCUCUUAGGAUCAAUUUAAAUGUGUUCUAUGUAAUUACAUCGUUUUAAAUGUCAUUACCUCAGAAAAACCCUUUUUAAUGGCCUCUGAUAUGAAAUCAGUAGUCCAAAUGAGUAGUUUGUCUAUUUUUAGAUCUUCUGCUUCAGAAAUCAUUGCUUAGAACUUCUGGGUUGGUGAACCUGUGGAGAUAUGGGGAAAAUGGGUCUUCCUGGAGAGGCACUCCUUUCCACAUCCUUGCUCUAUAUCUCUUCAGUUUGACUGUUUCUAGUUUCUGAUGCUCUCUCCAGGUAGAUAGUGUCAUAAUUAAGUUGAAUUUUCGGACACCCUGCUGGUGUUCAAGAAUUGCUUGUUGGUGGUGUAGGUAAACCUUUCAUGCACAUAUGUUGGAAUUGAGUCCAGGAACCCAAAAUAGUUAUAUGUCAGGAAAGGGAAAACGGUACAGGAGAACCAACCCAGAUGAGAUUUGGAGCAGUGAUCAUCUGUGAACCAUCAGAUCAGAUUUGUUUCUGCUUUGCCAUGCACGACAGGAACUCCCUCAUUUGUUAAAUGGAGGUAAUAUCACUUGCUCUGAGUAACCCUGAGAGAUGUGAGAUGAGGCAGGCUUGAGGCUCUAGCAUGUGCUGCAUAAAAUGCUACUAAACAAGCCAAAAGAAUGCAGCAAGUAUUGCCAGAUGAUAUUGCUGAUGAUACUGAUUAUCCCAGCUAUCAAUUCUUAUACUUCCUCAAGUUUCCAAAUUAUGAUUACCUUUUGAUUGAGCCAUUUGUGUGUAGUACCUCUAGCAAGUGCUAUACUAAGAUUCCAAAGAAUUAAAAGGUGACAUAAGUCAUAAGGCUUGCAUUUGUAGAAUGUUUCUAUUCUUGAAAAGCACUUUCACAACGUUUCCUUUAUCGUGCAUUGAAAUAACUAAAGCAGGGAUUUUUGUAUCUAUUUUUAUGACAUUGUGUUGGCAGAAAAAAUAUUUCCAUGUGAUUAUCACUUUGCGGUAAAAAAUCUUUUUCAUACAUUAUCUCAGAGGAGACCCACAGAGGUGAAUUGAUUUACCGAGGACAUAACACUAUUUUGUGACAGAUUCAGAUUUGAAUACAGAGCUUCUUGGUGUCCAUCCCUCCCGUGAAAAUAUGUCUUGAUGAAGAGAAUAAUCUGUAGCAAUUAUAGAAUGUGCUUUAUAUCCAGGUGCCAAGAAGAUACAGGCAUAGAGUUGGAAAAACAUUCCUUUCUUCCUUUAGUACUGUAUCUGUGCCUCCCUUAGUAGUGGUAUCUACUACUGUAAAUGUGUAGUAAAUGUGUAGCUAGCAUUCUGGUUGUGGUAAUAACUUUGAAUAGGAACAGAGUGACAACAAAACUUGCUCAUUUGGAAGAUAGAGAGACACGAAGGAAGCAUAAGAUCUUAGGUCUUCAUUUUAUUUCGGGUUUUGCCUGCUGUGUGGGUCACAGUAAGCAUCAUUCAGUUGCAGAAUUGGAGGCCUAUUAAAUCCUCUAGUUUACAGCCCUGUGGUAUAUAUUCCUUGUAGCUGAAUUACGCUGCAGUGAGACUAUAAGCUUGGAAUUUAUGGUAAUAGAAGUUUUAAAUAUCCCAAACAUUGCAUUAUGGCUGGAAGAAGCUCUUUUCUUAAGGGAGCAGGAUCAAAUGUCUGCUUUGAGGUGAAAUGAAUCAACAGGAGGUUUCUGAGGAGCGUUCUUUUCCAAGUUCAGAGAAACUGCAGCUAUGUCACUAUGUGUAAAUCUGGUGAUUUAUGUGUGUCACAUGGAUAUAAAACUCAGUCUUUCCUAUGAAAGGCUCUAAUCUUAAGCAAGGUUUAGUGUUCUCUGAAGUGAUUUUUCUUUUUCUUUUUUUUUUUUUAAAGUGAGCUCAAACCUGAUAGAUUGUUGGGUGUUUUAUUUGGGGGGGGUUGCUUUCUUUUGAUUUUGACUGGAUACCAUUUAGUCUUCUCUUAAAUUUGUAUUGUUUACAGAGCUCUCUAAUUUUCCUCUCAGAAUUUAAAACGAUCCAUGAGUAUGAUUGUCCUCCCUAAAAUAAGUAAUAUCCAAAACAUGAAUGUGUGGUGUAAAAAUGUUAAAUAAAUUAUCAGUACUAACAGCAGUGACACCCUUUAACAUUCAUCAUCCAUUUACUAAGUCCUAGGUACCAAGAACUUUUUCUAUUUGCUAAUCUUUAUAUAAAAAUAUAAACAUGAAAUAGUUUAUAAAAUGCCUUAUUGUCAUAAUUCAACAUUCAUAGAAAUAUCUUAUGAAGUAGAUGGUAUUCAUUUGAAAAGAUGAGGAAUCUGAGGCUCAGAGAGGCACAUGUACAUGGUUGCUAUACUUUAUUGGUUACAGUUUAUUGAGCAUUUUUUCAGUGCCUCUCGUCAUUUUUAUGUAAUCCUCAAAACUUGAGUUCCCAUUAUGGCUCAGCAGUAAUGAACCUGACUGGUAUCUAUGGGGAUGUGGGUCCAGUCCCUGGCUUCAGUGGUUUAAAGGAUCAGGUGUUGCCGUGAGCUGCAGUGUAGGUCGCAGACACUAGUUGGUUCUGGUGUUGCUGUGGCUAUUAGCUGUGAUUCGACCCCUAGCCUGGAACUUCCAUUUGCUGGGGGUGCAACACUAAAAGACGAAAAAACCAAAAACAAACAGAAAACCAAAAAACUGCACUGUGAGGCAAACACUGUUUUCAAACACUUUUUCCACAUAGGGAAACUCAGGUUUAGAGUGGUUAAGUAACUUGCCCAAGAUUACAUAACCAGUAGUAAGUACUGGAGGAGGCGGUUACCACUAGCUUGUGAGACAGUUUUGUUUCAAGUAGAAAAAAGUACCCCCUAUCAUGAACCAAUUAAAUAACUGAAACUUCUUCAGGACUGCCAUACCAUUUUAGUCAGUAGCUUUGGGACUGGGUUAGGUGCCGCUUCUUCCAAAAAAUGCAGCCCCUGUUUCAGGGUGGAGGGCUUAAUGAGCUGAAUGUGGGCACACUUUCAUCCCCCUUCACUUUCUUGACCAGGUGCCUUUGUUUUGUGCUUUAACUUCAUCACCAUGCAUAGUGGUCUCAAAGCUAAGAUUUCAGCCACGUCUGUCUGACUCCAGAGCCUGUGGUUUAUUUAUUAGCAUACUGCCAGUUAAUCGCGAAGUUACCUUCAAUCCAAUUUUUCUGACCAUAAACACUUUACUCUUUCUGUUGUAUACCAUGCAGGUUGGUU
rnacentral:lncRNA from 1 species